rnacentral:rRNA from 1 species
UACAGAGGUCUCAAGCGUUGUUCGGAUUUAUUGGGCGUAAAGCGCUCGCAGGUGGUUCGAUGCGUCGUGCGUGAAAGCCCCCGGCUCAACUGGGGAGUGUCGUGCGAUACGGUCGGACUGGAGGCCAGUAGGGGGAUGCGGAAUUCCGGGUGUAGUGGUGGAAUGCGCAGAUAUCAGGAAGAACACCAAUGGCGAAAGCAGCUCUCUGGGACGGUACUGACGCUGAGACGCGAAAGCGUGGGGAGCGAACAGG